AAGGAGCGUUUGAACAAAAAGAUCUGCUAAUUCUUAUUACUGAAGUUAAAAUCCUCAGGCA
rnacentral:tRNA from 1 species